UCCCUGGCUGUCCAGUGGUUAGGACUUGGCACUUUCACUGCCAGGGCCUGGGUUCAAUCCCUGGUUAGGGAA
rnacentral:tRNA from 1 species